rnacentral:lncRNA from 1 species
UACCCUUUUACGUCUCUCAUCCCACACUUCCACGAACUCACGUCCCAUUAUCUCCACUUCCUUAUAAGUUAAAAAAUUAUUCAUACUCAUUAUAUAAAGAGAAAAAGACUUCUGUUAUAAAAAAAAGGAACGAAAUUGAAAAGAAAGAAAAAGACUUUGCAAAAGAAAAAGAAAAGGUAGUAAUUCAACCAAGGCAAGAUUCAAAAAGAAUUAUUUGGUUGAGUUUCCAAGCUCCGUUCGUUGUUCGGAGUUUGUAUAGUACGUUUUCUGCGGAUAUUCACAAGGAAAUUUAAGUGUCCAUUCGAGAUGGGUUUUCGAUUCCUGCUUCAUAUUGUUGCUGUAUUUUCUUCUGGACUUCAUCUAGUUGACCCUGUUGCAAAAAUAUUUCUUUGCAUAUUAAAGAAGAAGCAUAUUAACAGGUUUAUUUUUAAUAAUUCCUCUUUAUUUUGCUAAUGUGUUCACAGUCUAUUGUCUUAGUAUUAUUUUUAUUUUUUUACGUUUAUGUUUGUAUUCAUAUGUCUUAGUUUUACGCCUGUUUUCAUGUUUUUGUGUCAUUUUCUUUCAUUUUGAUGUAAUAAGCUCAUCAGUUUAAGCCUGUUGGAAGAGAAUUCUCAUUAUGCUUUAAUUUUCAAUACAUUCCUGUGGAAGAGAAUUCUCAUUAUGCUUUAAUUUUCAAUACAUUCUUUUAUUAUUUGGAGAAUUAUUUAAUUUAAUAUGCUAAUUUGGGAUUGAAUCAUAAAGUUAUAUUUUCA